AAGCAGAAGAAUCAGAAACAUCUAAAUGAGCCUCCUCCCCUCUCUUUAGGGUUUACCAUCUGAUUCCUUCAUGAACCAGGGGAGAAGAGAAAGAUGAAAUCCCUGGGUGUUUUACUACUGAUCCUGUGGCUUCAGCUGAGCUGGGUGCACAGCCAACAGAAGGCAGUGGAACAGAGUCCUGAAGCCCUCAGUGUUCCAGAGGGAGCUGUGGCCUCUCUCAACUGCACUUACAGUGACAGUGCUUCUCAGAACUUCAGGUGGUACCGACAGUAUUCUGGGAAAGGUCCCAAGUUGCUGAUAUCCAUAUUCUCCAAUGGUGAAAAAGGUCAAGGAAGAUUCACAACGCAGCUUGAUACAGCCAAACGACAUCUUUUCCUGCACAUCAGAGGCUCCCAGCUCAGUGACUCAGCCACCUACUUCUGUGCAGUGAGCACACAGUGCUCCCCAGGCACCUGCAGCUGCACAGAAACCUACUGUCCCAGGAGGCCUGAGGUAGAGCAUAGACCACAGAGCAGAGAGUCUUUUGUGCUCUAAAUGUGAUGGGAAUUAAAGAGUAGUAAAUAUUGCAUUAGGAGUGUAAUCCCACAAAUAAAGGAUUCAUGAAAAAAACCACUUUGGGAAAGUUUUUAAGCCCCAAUUAUUUUAGUUCUGAUCUCCCAUCUCAUUUCCAUUCUCAGUUGUAACCUUGCUCCUGGACAUUGGAUGGGUAGGAGGAAGGACUAGAGUGAGAGGGUGAGAUGAUGAAACAAGAAGGUCAGAUGACUGCAGAGAUCAAAUAUCAGGGAGAGUCCAUGUUUCUCUUUCUGAAUAAAGGCCAAAUGGAACUCAGAAUCCCUGAGUUCCUUGAUGCCUGUGCACUGGGGAGAGGUACAGAGAGGUGGGGAACAGCAGUCAUAGCCACAGAGAGCCCCACUGCACCAGGGCUGGGAGCACAAAAUGACUCCUAAUAUUUGGAAAUGGAUCCAUGAGAAAGGAUCUGAAAGAGUCUCAGACACAAGGGGCUUCAUUCUGGAGAGCAUAGUCCUUCAUGAAUCAGCUGUCAUAGAUGACAAGGUAUUGAGUCUUUCAGCAAAUGUUGGUGAGGAGAUUGGGAAACACUGAAGAUCAUAUAGAUGUCACCCUCCUAUGUCUCUAGGGCUCUAUGGAUUUUGUUUGCCACUAAACCUUUGUAAUCGAUAUUAAGGUGAAUUACAGAAAAUAAAUGAAAAUCAUACUUACUGUAAAGCUGAA